UGGCUAAAUGGUACUUUUAAUUUUUCUCUCUCCACGUCCGCCUCUGCAAUAGUACGUUUAAUUUGCAGCACGACUUGGUAAAUUUCAAUCCUCUUAGCCUCCUUACCUUUGGGAGUGCUGGAGUGAAUUCUUGGGGAUCGUUUCCGGGCGGUGGUCAAUGGAGGCAGCAAGGAAAUCCCUGCUCAGCUCACUCGCACCCCGCUCAGUGAUGCCGGAGCCGGAAUCUGAC